rnacentral:lncRNA from 1 species
GCCACAGUCACAGCUGUUUACAGGACUCUGCUGGAGUCUGUAAGUGGCUUGGACACUCAGCUGGACUGGCAAAGCAGAAUAUCUGUGUGUCAGUGUACUUCAUUCAUCCGUCGCUGGGUCAGGGUCUGGGGGUCAGACCCCUGCAGCUGGUGCCCCUGUGUGAGGAACGCUACCACACAUCCUGGCCUGGGCUGGGGAGUCCAUCCAAUGGAAUAUAUUUAAGGUAUGAAAAGGGCCUCGUUCAGUUCCUGGAGCAAGGGAGCCACCCGAUAAUGCCUUCCCUUGCACCCCAGAUGAAGCCAAGCACAGUGAGAGAAGCAUCUCCAGAUCUCUAUCUGGUGGAGCUGCUGGACUUCCCUCGGGGCAGGAACAUGAAAUCUGAGGGAAGAUACUUUUGGAACCUUGAAUCUGAAAGGAACUCAAUGUUUUGCAUCCUUGGGAUUGCCAGAGAUUGGCAGAGGAGAGUCAAACAAGGACACAGAGAUGGAGCAGCCUUGAUAAGGCAAUCUGGACACAAAGGGACACUGGGGUACAUAUGUACAGAAAAAAGACCAUGUGAAGACACAGUGAGAAAGUGGUCAUUUGCAAGCAAAGAAGAGGUCUCAGAAGAAUGCAAACCUGCUGACACCUUGAUCUCAGAAUUCUAGCCUCCAGAAUGGUAAGAAAAUAAAUUUCUGUUGUUUAGCUCAUAUAGUCUGUGGUAUUUUGUUAUGGCAACCCUAGCAGAUUACACACACAUGGAGACACACAAGCACACACAUAGAUGCGUAUAUAAUCUUUUAUCCUUACCCUAACUCUAUAAGGUAAGCAUUAUUAUCCUUAUUUUAUAGAUGAGGACAUUGAGGCGCAGAGAAAUUAAGUGACCUUCCUCAGAGUCACAUAUGACAGCUAAAUGGUUACAAAGUCCAUAGUAACUAUAGGAUCCCUGUGAUGUUGUGAAAUAUCUAUUUGGUCUUCAUCCCAGUCUCCUAGCGCACAACUCCUAAAAUCCCUGGACUCUUCAAAGUGCUGGAGCUACUCCAGGGGUUUACAGCUUGCCAGUUUUGCAAUGAAGUGCUUAGAUCAGAACUCUGAGCAGGACCCCGUUUACUGGGACAGUCUGGCCAUCAGAUGGUGCCUGUAUCAGUGUAGCCCCAGAUCUCAUGGCUUUGCAAACAUCUGUGCUCUCUGCUUUACCCUGCAGCAUUUCACUUCCAUUAAAAGUGCAGCCUAAAAUCUCCCUUGUGCAUCCUUGUCUGGGAACUGGGUGACUUCCAGUUGAAGGGUCAAUAAAUAUAAUUAAAAGGAUCAUCCAACUGGAUCUCUUUCUCUGAGUGUCUUCCCUUGGAGGGACAACCCUCUCCAUCUCAUAAAUGGAUUUUUUCGAACAUGAGGACUUUGAAAGGUGGCAGAUGUCCUCAGCCUAUUGAUUUGUGUAGUUUGAUGCCUGGCAAGUGGUAGUCAGAGUCCUCAGAUUCAUAAGGACACCCCCUCAUAUGCAGAGGAUUCACAGAUGAUAUUCACUGUAUUAUGGCCUGAUCGAUAGUCCCCUACCAAAUAAAUGCUCAUCUACUCUAUCACCUCUCCUCAUAGACAAGUAAUAACACCAUGACUUAUUAGGAAAUACAAUGAGCGUAAAACAGUAGUAGCCAGCUUCCUGAAUAACUGUUACAUAACACGGCAUUUCUUGGUACUUUCACGUACCCU